CGGCUCAGGUCAUAGUCUCCGGGUCCUGGGAUGGAGCCCUGUGUAUGGCUCCCUGCUCAAAGGUCUGGACCUGAUCCACGGAAGACUUCUUGGCUUUGCAUGUGUGACCAGGUGUGCAACCCAUCAUCAAACACCGGCCUGAUUAUGGGGCUUAGGAAGCAGGAAGCUGGCACCCAAGGAGGAUGAGCCUUGCAGCUCUGAGGCCGGAGGACUCCCCCAGACGUGGCAGGAGAAGCUGCAGAGGGCCGCGGGGGCACGAGGAACGCGCCUCCUGUCCCCCACCCCCAGCGCACCUCGCACGGCAGGAACGCCCCAGACUCCUUGAUCCACUGGCGUCUCUCUCCUCGCUCUGCCAUCCUACCGACUGCGAUGAGACCUGAAGGCCACUUGUCAAAAAUCUCUUAUUUUAGACAAGAAAAGGCAGCUAAAAAUAGUAGCAUGCGGAAGGUCCCUUCUCUGAUCAGUGUGGUGCUUUAAGUUAGCACAGCACGGUUAUCUUCUGUCUUGGGCCUCCCAACCACCGGUGAGGCCACGGGGGCCCAGAUUAUUGUGCCCAUUUUAUAACUGGGGAGCCUGAGGCCUAGGAAAGGUCAAGUGACUUCCCGGUUCACUUUUCUGUCUCCCUCCACUAGGCCGAAAGCUUGGAGGGACAGCUGAGGUUUGGCUUGUUUACUGCUCCCUCCCCAGCUCUCAGCACGGCUUCCAGAAUCUAGUAGUUGCUCAGUAAACACUCUGCAGGCGAGCACAGUAACAGGCAGCAGAGCUUAGGCACACAGUCCCCGCAAUUCUCUUUUUGCAGCAAGAUCUAGCAAAUCACAACAAACGACAGGAAGGAGUGUCCGGUCCAAGACCUUCCGAAGAAGAGAGAGGCACCGGGAGGCCAGAUCCAGCCUGCGAGUUAAGCGGAAGUGUCACCCUCUCCCUGGAGGAGCUUCGUUCUGCGGCACAAGAAAAUUCUCCUUGAUUAUAAAUGUAGGGUUUGACAACAAAUCAGGAAGCGUUUGUGAAAAUUCAUUUUACACCUUGUUAUGUAAGUAGCCACAUGGUACCUGCAAGCGUGCCUCUUGGCUCACAGAGCCCGAAAUAGUGACUGUCUGGGCCUUUGCAGAGAACAGUUGCCGACCCCCCGCUCUAGAAGGAGAGAAGUGGGAGCUCACUGCAAGCAUUGAGGGUGAUGGGAGGGCAUCUGGAUAAAACAAGGAGUGAGAUUCUCAGAAGUCACUCAGGUAGGCAACUCCGAUCCCAGAGUUCUUUCUGCCCCGUGUCACAGCUUCUUCUGGGGACCCCGUGAAACCUCACUGGGAGAAUUCUCUAGUGUAAUGUGGCCCCCUGGAGUCCCCCACCACCCACACGGUGGCUUCUGGGGUGACCACAUGCUCUGCAGCCAAUCGGCUCCCCUGGAGCUCCGCCUUCCUCCUGCCCAGCUCAGCCCAGGACACCCUGGGUGCUGGCCCCUGAGAGUUGCGUGGGCCUGUGGCUUUGAGAGUGAAAGGGAGGGGCCUUUGGAGAGGCACCAAGUUCACACCUGCUUUGCCUGGCGUGACCUUCGAUGGGCGGCCCCGGCUUUCCGGCUGCCAGCCUGGCCUUGCCAGGGCCAAAGGAGGAUGCUUCAGGCAAAACCCUCGCACGGGGGAGGCUCGCUCAGGUGGCUUGGGAAAGGCACCCACUGGAGGGUGGGGACCUGAGGGCUCUUCUUCCGCCAGCUGCUCUGCUCGGAGGAGGCUGAAAAAUCUCUCUGUCCUAGUGUUCAUCUUGAAACAUGAGCCUCAACCUGAAACGCUGACGUCCUGCCACCUGGCCACGGGUCCAUCCUACACCUUGCCUGAGAGAACGGCUCCUUUCCAAACCAUUUCAUCUGCGUAUCAAACGCAGUUUCUGAGUCAAGGUCUGAACACAUCGAGGCACCGUUUGUAGCGAGGAGUGUUUUAUUGAGGCUGCUUUCCUGUAGCAGAGUCGCGGAGGCUGGGGACGCGCACACUGCACAGGACAAGAACGCAGGUGUUGGGGACCCUGUCGGGAGCACGCGCGCCACGGCCCCACUCACCUGGCUUGGGCGGAUGCGUUUUCGAUUCCUAACCCCACAUGUGACUACACUCGGCACAUCUUUAUGGAACACGGGGAGGGGAGCUAUGUGGCGACAGCACGUGCCCUGUCAAGGUUUUGACGCUUUGCGUAUUUUAACUUACUUAAGCCCCACAAUGAUCCUACGAGGUGGGUAUUGUUGUCCUCGCUUACAGAUCAGGAAACUGAGGCACAGGGGCUGAGAGUCUUGGUCAGGGGCGCGCAUCCGGGGCACCCUGCCCCACCACGUCCAACCAUUUCUGCUGCCCCCCAGAGGCUGAUCUCUGCUCAGCAGGACCUCUGUGCUUGGCAGUGGGUUCCAGCUGCUGGCUGGUGUUUGGGGAGCUGCCCCAGGGAGAAGGUGGCAGGUGGCAAAGGGCAGGGCUUGCCUGUGCGGGUCCCUCCCCUGGAUCUGGGGACCACAGGCAUGUGCUGCUGGUGGUUCGAUGCCCGAAAACCAUGGCUUCGGGUAUUUUGUUCGAUAUUAUGGUUGCUUAUGGUGGGGGCUCAUACGGUGGUACCAAUUACUCCCCCACAGCCAUGUCACCUUGUGGGCUGAUAUU